GAGCAGAAGGUAGAGGAGCAGAAGGUGGAGGAUCAAAAAGAACAGACUGAAGUCCUUUGAACUUUUGGAGACUUUAGAGAAUGUCAUGAUGGAGAACGGACGCUCAAAAGGCUUCGGGUGUGUGACGUUUUCAUCUCCUGAUGAGGCUCGAGUAGACAUCAUGGAGAUGAACGGCAGGGUGCUGGGCAGCAGGACUGUGUACUUAAGUCCCUCUCAGGCCCUCUCAGAAUGUAGAAACCAUCUCACCUUCAAAACCCUGCCCAGACCCAAGACCCAACGCCAACAAGAACAUCCAUCCACAGAAUGUUCCAGUUGCAGAUCCUGGAAAAGAAAACCAGCAGCAGUGGAACAGGCGAUUCACA